rnacentral:snoRNA from 1 species
CUGUCUAUGAUGAGACCCUUACAGCCCCAGUCUGAUCCCCAUGACUGAGUGGUUCCCUCUGAGUCCCA